UCAAAUGAGAGUUUGAUCCCGGCUCAGAAUCAACGCUGGCGGCGCGCCUAACACAUGCAAGUCGAACGAGAAAGUGGAGCAAUCCAUGAGUACAGUGGCGUACGGGUGAGUAACACGUGGGUAAUCUACCUUUUAGUGUGGAAUAACUCUGGGAAACCGGAGCUAAUACCGCAUAAGCUCGAGAGAGGAAAGCAGCAAUGCGCUGAAAGAGGAGCCCGCGGCCGAUUAGCUAGUUGGCAGGGUAAGAGCCUACCAAGGCAGAGAUCGGUAGCCGGCCUGAGAGGGCACACGGCCACACUGGCACUGAAACACGGGCCAGACUCCUACGGGAGGCAGCAGUGGGGAAUCUUGCACAAUGGGGGAAACCCUGAUGCAGCGACGCCGCGUGAGCGAUGAAGCCCUUCGGGGUGUAAAGCUCUUUCGGCAGGGAAGAUAGUGACGGUACCUGCAGAAGCAGCUGCGGCUAACUACGUGCCAGCAGCCGCGGUAAUACGUAGGCAGCGAGCGUUGUUCGGAGUUACUGGGCGUAAAGGGUGUGUAGGCGGUUGUUUAAGUUUGGUGUGAAAUCUCCCGGCUCAACUGGGAGGGUGCGCCGAAUACUGAAUGACUAGAGUACGGGAGAGGAAAGUGGAAUUCCUGGUGUAGCGGUGAAAUGCGUAGAUAUCAGGAGGAACACCGGUGGUGUAGACGGCUUUCUGGACCGUAACUGACGCUGAGACACGAAAGCGUGGGUAGCAAACAGGAUUAGAUACCCUGGUAGUCCACGCCCUAAACGAUGCAUAUUUGGUGUGGGCAGUUCAUUCUGUCCGUGCCGGAGCUAACGCGUUAAAUAUGCCGCCUGGGG
rnacentral:rRNA from 1 species